rnacentral:rRNA from 1 species
AUUGAACGCUGGCGGCAUGCCUUACACAUGCAAGUCGAACGGUAACAGGUUAAGCUGACGAGUGGCGAACGGGUGAGUAAUGUAUCGGAACGUGCCCAGUCGUGGGGAUAACUGCUCGAAAGAGCAGCUAAUACCGCAUACGACCUGAGGGUGAAAGCGGGGGAUCGCAAGACCUCGCGCGAUUGGAGCGGCCGAUAUCAGAUUAGGUAGUUGGUGGGGUAAAGGCCUACCAAGCCUACGAUCUGUAGCUGGUCUGAGAGGACGACCAGCCACACUGGGACUGAGACACGGCCCAGACUCCUACGGGAGGCAGCAGUGGGGAAUUUUGGACAAUGGACGCAAGUCUGAUCCAGCCAUGCCGCGUGCGGGAAGAAGGCCUUCGGGUUGUAAACCGCUUUUGUCAGGGAAGAAAAAGUUCUGGUUAAUACCUGGGACUCAUGACGGUACCUGAAGAAUAAGCACCGGCUAACUACGUGCCAGCAGCCGCGGUAAAAC